GGUUAAGCGACUAAGCGUACACGGUGGAUGCCCUGGCAGUCAGAGGCGAUGAAGGACGUGCUAAUCUGCGAUAAGCGUCGGUAAGGUGAUAUGAACCGUUAUAACCGGCGAUUUCCGAAUGGGGAAACCCAGUGUGUUUCGACACACUAUCAUUAACUGAAUCCAUAGGUUAAUGAGGCGAACCGGGGGAACUGAAACAUCUAAGUACCCCGAGGAAAAGAAAUCAACCGAGAUUCCCCCAGUAGCGGCGAGCGAACGGGGAGCAGCCCAGAGCCUGAAUCAGUGUGUGUGUUAGUGGAAGCGUCUGGAAAGGCGCGCGAUACAGGGUGACAGCCCCGUACACAAAAAUGCACAUGCUGUGAGCUCGAUGAGUAGGGCGGGACACGUGGUAUCCUGUCUGAAUAUGGGGGGACCAUCCUCCAAGGCUAAAUACUCCUGACUGACCGAUAGUGAACCAGUACCGUGAGGGAAAGGCGAAAAGAACCCCGGCGAGGGGAGUGAAAAAGAACCUGAAACCGUGUACGUACAAGCAGUGGGAGCACGCUUAGGCGUGUGACUGCGUACCUUUUGUAUAAUGGGUCAGCGACUUAUAUUCUGUAGCAAGGUUAACCGAAUAGGGGAGCCGAAGGGAAACCGAGUCUUAACUGGGCGUUAAGUUGCAGGGUAUAGACCCGAAACCCGGUGAUCUAGCCAUGGGCAGGUUGAAGGUUGGGUAACACUAACUGGAGGACCGAACCGACUAAUGUUGAAAAAUUAGCGGAUGACUUGUGGCUGGGGGUGAAAGGCCAAUCAAACCGGGAGAUAGCUGGUUCUCCCCGAAAGCUAUUUAGGUAGCGCCUCGUGAAUUCAUCUCCGGGGGUAGAGCACUGUUUCGGCAAGGGGGUCAUCCCGACUUACCAACCCGAUGCAAACUGCGAAUACCGGAGAAUGUUAUCACGGGAGACACACGGCGGGUGCUAACGUCCGUCGUGAAGAGGGAAACAACCCAGACCGCCAGCUAAGGUCCCAAAGUCAUGGUUAAGUGGGAAACGAUGUGGGAAGGCCCAGACAGCCAGGAUGUUGGCUUAGAAGCAGCCAUCAUUUAAAGAAAGCGUAAUAGCUCACUGGUCGAGUCGGCCUGCGCGGAAGAUGUAACGGGGCUAAACCAUGCACCGAAGCUGCGGCAGCGACGCUUAUGCGUUGUUGGGUAGGGGAGCGUUCUGUAAGCCUGCGAAGGUGUGCUGUGAGGCAUGCUGGAGGUAUCAGAAGUGCGAAUGCUGACAUAAGUAACGAUAAAGCGGGUGAAAAGCCCGCUCGCCGGAAGACCAAGGGUUCCUGUCCAACGUUAAUCGGGGCAGGGUGAGUCGACCCCUAAGGCGAGGCCGAAAGGCGUAGUCGAUGGGAAACAGGUUAAUAUUCCUGUACUUGGUGUUACUGCGAAGGGGGGACGGAGAAGGCUAUGUUGGCCGGGCGACGGUUGUCCCGGUUUAAGCGUGUAGGCUGGUUUUCCAGGCAAAUCCGGAAAAUCAAGGCUGAGGCGUGAUGACGAGGCACUACGGUGCUGAAGCAACAAAUGCCCUGCUUCCAGGAAAAGCCUCUAAGCAUCAGGUAACAUCAAAUCGUACCCCAAACCGACACAGGUGGUCAGGUAGAGAAUACCAAGGCGCUUGAGAGAACUCGGGUGAAGGAACUAGGCAAAAUGGUGCCGUAACUUCGGGAGAAGGCACGCUGAUAUGUAGGUGAAGCGACUUGCUCGUGGAGCUGAAAUCAGUCGAAGAUACCAGCUGGCUGCAACUGUUUAUUAAAAACACAGCACUGUGCAAACACGAAAGUGGACGUAUACGGUGUGACGCCUGCCCGGUGCCGGAAGGUUAAUUGAUGGGGUUAGCCGCAAGGCGAAGCUCUUGAUCGAAGCCCCGGUAAACGGCGGCCGUAACUAUAACGGUCCUAAGGUAGCGAAAUUCCUUGUCGGGUAAGUUCCGACCUGCACGAAUGGCGUAAUGAUGGCCAGGCUGUCUCCACCCGAGACUCAGUGAAAUUGAACUCGCUGUGAAGAUGCAGUGUACCCGCGGCAAGACGGAAAGACCCCGUGAACCUUUACUAUAGCUUGACACUGAACAUUGAGCCUUGAUGUGUAGGAUAGGUGGGAGGCUUUGAAGUGUGGACGCCAGUCUGCAUGGAGCCGACCUUGAAAUACCACCCUUUAAUGUUUGAUGUUCUAACGUUGACCCGUAAUCCGGGUUGCGGACAGUGUCUGGUGGGUAGUUUGACUGGGGCGGUCUCCUCCUAAAGAGUAACGGAGGAGCACGAAGGUUGGCUAAUCCUGGUCGGACAUCAGGAGGUUAGUGCAAUGGCAUAAGCCAGCUUGACUGCGAGCGUGACGGCGCGAGCAGGUGCGAAAGCAGGUCAUAGUGAUCCGGUGGUUCUGAAUGGAAGGGCCAUCGCUCAACGGAUAAAAGGUACUCCGGGGAUAACAGGCUGAUACCGCCCAAGAGUUCAUAUCGACGGCGGUGUUUGGCACCUCGAUGUCGGCUCAUCACAUCCUGGGGCUGAAGUAGGUCCCAAGGGUAUGGCUGUUCGCCAUUUAAAGUGGUACGCGAGCUGGGUUUAGAACGUCGUGAGACAGUUCGGUCCCUAUCUGCCGUGGGCGCUGGAGAACUGAGGGGGGCUGCUCCUAGUACGAGAGGACCGGAGUGGACGCAUCACUGGUGUUCGGGUUGUCAUGCCAAUGGCACUGCCCGGUAGCUAAAUGCGGAAGAGAUAAGUGCUGAAAGCAUCUAAGCACGAAACUUGCCCCGAGAUGAGUUCUCCCUGACUCCUUGAGAGUCCUGAAGGAACGUUGAAGACGACGACGUUGAUAGGCCGGGUGUGUAAGCGCAGCGAUGCGUUGAGCUAACCGGUACUAAUGAACCGUGAGGCUUAACCUU
rnacentral:rRNA from 1 species